rnacentral:rRNA from 1 species
CCUACGGGAGGCAGCAGUGAGGAAUAUUGGUCAAUGGCCGUAAGGCUGAACCAGCCAAGUAGCGUGAGGGAAGACUGCCCUAUGAGUUGUAAACCUCUUUUAUGCGGGGAUAAAGGUGUCCACGUGUGGCUGUUUGCAGGUACCGCAUGAAUAAGGACCGGCUAAUUCCGUGCCAGCAGCCGCGGUAAUACGGAAGGUCCGGGCGUUAUCCGGAUUUAUUGGGUUUAAAGGGAGCGUAGGCCGGGCGUUAAGCGUGCCGUGAAAUUUUGUGGCUCAACCAUGAGAGUGCGGCGCGUACUGGAGACCUUGAGUGCGCGGAAGGUAGGCGGAAUUCGUGGUGUAGCGGUGAAAUGCUUAGAUAUCACGAAGAACCCCGAUUGCGAAGGCAGCCUGCCGCAGCGUUACUGACGCUGAAGCUCGAAAGCGCGGGUAUCGAACAGGAUGAGAUACCCGAGUAGUC